rnacentral:lncRNA from 1 species
UUGUGGUGUAUAUGGCAAGACCGAAAUCACUACAUCUUCGAGGGGAAAGCCCUGCACCCGAAGCAGACUCUACACAGAUCAGCGGCUCUCCAAGCGAACUUCGAAACCUGGAACAAGAAGACAGACAAGGAGAAUCAGCGAGAGAAUCGCUCGCACCGGUGGCAACCCCCGCCCCCCGACUCACUCCGAGCACAUAUAGACGCUUCCUUCGUCCAGCAAGAAGCCGUAUCAGCUAACCUGGCCGAGAACAGAGGAGAUCGGGAAAACAAGGCAGCCAUCGCCUGCCUCUGUAGAGACUCACAGGGACGCCUAAUCGAUGGAUUCUCCAAGACGGUGGAGGCAACCUCGGCGGAACAAGCAGAAGCAAUCUCCCUCUUGGAAACCCUAGCCUUUCUCUCCAGCCGCACGAACAGAAGAUGGGAAGUACAUUCUGACUGUCAACAGCUC